UCCGAGUUGACCCCGGCAGUCUCCUAUGAGUCCCCGGCAUUACCCGCUGGCAACUAGUAGCGAGGGUUGCGCUCGUUGCGGGACUUAACCCAACAUCUCACGACACGAGCUGACGACAACCAUGCACCACCUGUAUACCGACCUUGCGGGGGACACAUUUCUGCAUCUUUCCGGUAUAUGUCAAGCCUUGGUAAGGUUCUUCGCGUUGCAUCGAAUUAAUCCGCAUGCUCCGCCGCUUGUGCGGGCCCCCGUCAAUUCCUUUGAGUUUUAGCCUUGCGGCCGUACUCCCCAGGCGGAUGACUUAAUGCGUUAGCUGCGCCACCGAAAGCCCAUGGCCCCCGACAGCUAGUCAUCAUCGUUUACGGCGUGGACUAC
rnacentral:misc_RNA from 1 species